rnacentral:rRNA from 1 species
AGGUUAAGUGAAUAAGGGCGCACGGUGGAUGCCUUGGCACUAGGAGCCGAUGAAGGACGGGACUAACACCGAUAUGCUUUGGGGAGCUGUACGUAAGCUAUGAUCCAGAGAUUUCCGAAUGGGGGAACCCAACAUCUUUAAUAGGAUGUUACGAUUGUGUGAAUACAUAGCACAUUCGAGGUAGACGCAGAGAACUGAAACAUCUAAGUACCUGCAGGAAGAGAAAGAAAAUUCGAUUCCCUGAGUAGCGGCGAGCGAAACGGGAAAAGCCCAAACCAGCAAGCUUGCUUGUUGGGGUUGUAGGACUCCAAUAUGGUAGUUCUUUCAGAUAGUCGAAUGACUUGGAAAAGUCAGUCAAAGAGGGUAAAAACCCCGUAGACGAAAUGUGGAAGACACCUAGGAGGAUCCUGAGUACGGCGGAACACGAGAAAUUCCGUCGGAAUCCGGGAGGACCAUCUCCCAAGGCUAAAUACUCCCUAGUGACCGAUAGUGAACCAGUACCGUGAGGGAAAGGUGAAAAGCACCCCGGAAGGGGAGUGAAAUAGAACCUGAAACCGUGUGCCUACAACAAGUCAAAGCCCGUUAAUGGGUGAUGGCGUGCCUUUUGUAGAAUGAACCGGCGAGUUACGAUUGCAUGCGAGGUUAAGUUGAAGAGACGGAGCCGCAGCGAAAGCGAGUCUGAAUAGGGCGUUUGAGUAUGUAGUCGUAGACCCGAAACCAUGUGAUCUACCCAUGUCCAGGUUGAAGGUGCGGUAAAACGCACUGGAGGACCGAACCCACGUACGUUGAAAAGUGCGGGGAUGAGGUGUGGGUAGCGGAGAAAUUCCAAACGAACUUGGAGAUAGCUGGUUCUCUCCGAAAUAGCUUUAGGGCUAGCCUCGGAAUUGAGAAUGAUGGAGGUAGAGCACUGUUUGGACUAGGGGCCCAUCUCGGGUUACCGAAUUCAGAUAAACUCCGAAUGCCAUUCAUUCAUAUCCGGGAGUCAGACUGUGAGUGAUAAGAUCCAUAGUCGAAAGGGAAACAGCCCAGACCACCAGCUAAGGUCCCAAAAUAUAUGUUAAGUGGAAAAGGAUGUGGGGUUGCACAGACAACUAGGAUGUUGGCUUAGAAGCAGCCACCAUUUAAAGAGUGCGUAAUAGCUCACUAGUCGAGUGACCCUGCGCCGAAAAUGUACCGGGGCUAAACAUAUUACCGAAGCUGUGGAGUACACCUUUAGGUGUAUUGGUAGGAGAGCGUUCUAAGGGCGUUGAAGGCAGAUCGUGAGGACUGCUGGAGCGCUUAGAAGUGAGAAUGCCGGUAUGAGUAGCGAAAGACAGGUGAGAAUCCUGUCCACCGAAUGACUAAGGUUUCCUGGGGAAGGCUCGUCCGCCCAGGGUUAGUCGGGACCUAAGCCGAGGCCGACAGGCGUAGGCGAUGGAUAACAGGUUGAUAUUCCUGUACCCGUUGUUUUUGUUUGAGCAAUGGAGGGACGCAGGAGGCUAAGGAAUGCAGACGAUCGGAAAUGUCUGUCCAAGCAGUAAGUCUGAAGAGGAGUCAAAUGCUUCUUUUCUUAAGGACAAGCUGUGAUGGGGAGGGAAAUAAUAGUACCGAAGUUCCUGAUGUCACACUGCCGAGAAAAGCUUCUAGUGAGAAAACAGCGGCCCGUACCGCAAACCGACACAGGUAGUCGAGGAGAGAAUCCUAAGGUGAGCGAGAGAACUCUCGUUAAGGAACUCGGCAAAAUGACCCCGUAACUUCGGGAGAAGGGGUGCUGAUCAUACGAUCAGCCGCAGUGAAUAGGCCCAAGCGACUGUUUAUCAAAAACACAGGUCUCUGCAAAAUCGUAAGAUGAAGUAUAGGGGCUGACGCCUGCCCGGUGCUGGAAGGUUAAGAGGAGUGCUUAGCGCAAGCGAAGGUACGAAUUGAAGCCCAGUAAACGGCGGCCGUAACUAUAACGGUCCUAAGGUAGCGAAAUUCCUUGUCGGGUAAGUUCCGACCCGCACGAAAGGCGUAACGAUUUGGGCACUGUCUCAACGAGAGACUCGGUGAAAUUUUAGUACCUGUGAAGAUGCAGGUUACCCGCGACAGGACGGAAAGACCCCAUGGAGCUUUACUGUAGUUUGAUAUUGAGUGUCUGUACCGCAUGUACAGGAUAGGUAGGAGCCGUAGAAAUCGGAACGCUAGUUUCGAUGGAGGCGCUGGUGGGAUACUACCCCUGCGUUAUGGCCACUCUAACCCGCACCACUAAUCGUGGUGGGAGACAGUGUCAGAUGGGCAGUUUGACUGGGGCGGUCGCCUCCUAAAAGGUAACGGAGGCGCCCAAAGGUUCCCUCAGAAUGGUUGGAAAUCAUUCGAAGAGUGUAAAGGCAGAAGGGAGCUUGACUGCGAGACCAACAAGUCGAGCAGGGACGAAAGUCGGGCUUAGUGAUCCGGUGGUUCCGCAUGGAAGGGCCAUCGCUCAACGGAUAAAAGCUACCCUGGGGAUAACAGGCUUAUCUCCCCCAAGAGUCCACAUCGACGGGGAGGUUUGGCACCUCGAUGUCGGCUCGUCGCAUCCUGGGGCUGUAGUCGGUCCCAAGGGUUGGGCUGUUCGCCCAUUAAAGCGGCACGCGAGCUGGGUUCAGAACGUCGUGAGACAGUUCGGUCCCUAUCCGUCGCGGGCGUUGGAAAUUUGAGAGGAGCUGUCCUUAGUACGAGAGGACCGGGAUGGACUUACCGCUGGUGUACCAGUUGUUCUGCCAAGGGCAUUGCUGGGUAGCUAUGUAGGGAAGGGAUAAACGCUGAAAGCAUCUAAGUGUGAAGCCCACCUCAAGAUGAGAUUUCCCAUUUCUUUAAGAAAGUAAGAUCCCUGAGAGAUGAUCAGGUAGAUAGGUCAGGAGUGGAAGUACAGUGAUGUAUGGAGCGGACUGAUACUAAUCGAUCGAGGACUUAACCAAU